rnacentral:rRNA from 1 species
UGCCAGCCGCCGCGGUAAUACGGAGGGUGCAAGCGUUGUUCGGAAUUAUUGGGCGUAAAGCGCGUGUAGGCGGUUCGUUAAGUCUGAUGUGAAAGCCCGGGGCUUAACUCCGGAACUGCUCUUAAAACUGUGGAGCUAGAGACAAUCAGAGGUGGGUGGAAUUCCAGGUGUAGAGGUGAAAUUCGUAGAUAUCUGGAGGAACACCGGUGGCGAAGGCGGCCUGCUGGACCUUAUCUGACGCUAAGGCGCGAAAGCGUGGGGAGCAAACAGGAUUAGAUA